rnacentral:rRNA from 1 species
UAGGGAAUCUUCCACAAUGGCGAAAGUACUGAUGGAGCAACGCCGCGUGAGUGAAGAAGGGUUUCGGCUCGUAAAACUCUGUUGUUAAAGAAGAACAUAUCUGAGAGUAACUGUUCAGGUAUUGACGGUAUUUAACCAGAAAGCCACGGCUAACUACGUGCCAC